AUUUUUUUUUCUCGAUUGUGUGCUGCAUGAUUUUUUUUUUCUUUCUCCUUGGGUUGCAGGAAAUUUUUUUUCGAAAUCUUCCACCCCCCCCCUCAAAAGUCAAAUGGUCCGCCCCUUACAGUAACUCUUGAAAUAUUUUGACUGAAAGCAACCUCACUUGUGACGUAUCAUAUGCAUAUCCCACUGAGCUAUACCACAGAUGAGGUAGAUACAGAUGUGAAUCUUCUGUCAAAUUGCUGAUUGUUUUGUGUCACACGGAAUUCUCACUUCCGGCGAGCGCUGGCAAGUGUCGUUCUGAAAUUUAAUAAGGAAAGAGAUAGGAAAACGCCGUUCGAAAGACGAAAAAUUGUUUUUUUUAAAAAUCUACGCUACCGACGGCUAUUUUUGGAAUUAAUUCUUCAAGAGUAUCGGUAAGCGAUCACUUUUAUUGAUUUCUUUUUAUUAAAAGUGAUAACAUAACAUUUUAUUUAGCAAAAGUUUGUUUUUUUCCCUAUCUAUUCCUUAUUAAAAUCGUGAAAUACACUUGCUGGGAAUUUCAGAUGCUCAUGUAUAAUAAUAAAACAGCGAAUGAUAUAAAUUCCUCAAAACAUAACUCUGGCAUAAAAAAAACAUGAAUACUUCUAUAAUAUGUAUAGUUUUAUUUCUCUGCAUUAUCAAAAUUUAAUAAAAUAGUGAAUUAAUACAAUUUUAAAGUUUAUUUAAUCGGUGUGACAUAAUUUGCCGUGAGAUUCACAUCUGUAUUUACCUCAUCUGUGGCUAUACUAUAUUACUGGAGGACCUGCUCGGCAUCAAGAGGUGAAGCCAAAAACAUGGCGGAUUUUCACGUUUGCUGACGCCAGAAUGACGCCACUGGUCCCAAAUCCUCGUGGUAAUUACCACUGACCAACCGCGAUCCUCGGUUUCAGACGACAAUUUCACCCCCCUGGUUUUUGCACAAAAAAGCUGAAACUCUGCUGAAAAUUUAUAUAAACGUCAUAAAAAACAUCAAGAAAAAAUGCCGAGUUUUUGCAUGGCUUCAUGAUGCCACAAUUCUUUAAUAUCAAGAAGAGACACUUCUUUUUACCGGUAAGAUGUAUAUUAAACUCUUUCUCUGUGUUUCAUUUGUACUAAAUUCUGUUUUUUAAAAGAAAAAAUUGGAUACGAAAUUUACAAAUAUAACGACGCUGUACAGCAGCUGGUGUUAUUCUGCCUUUAUCACUUUUCGUUGUGUUUUAUUUUGCCAUUUGGGUAGGUUAUAGUUUUUGUUUUCCUCUCGAGUCCUUACCCAAAGAUCCAACAGCCCCAACAUCAAUUUUCACAUACAGUAUUGUAAUAGAAAUGCCUUAAGGCUUAAAAUGAUGGACAAGUGUCAAGUCACAAAUGCCAUGGAGUCAAUAGUCGAACUUAUCCUAGGGUUUUAAUAUAUUGUCAUAGGAGGCCCAAUAUAUGGUUGUAAUGGGCACAAAAAAGAUCAAAACUGUUCCUAACAAGUGUCUCUGUAGGAGUAUAAGUGUUGAAUAAAAGCUUGCAAGGCUCACACUACAAUUUUGAGUUGUGAUUUUAACAGACAAUUUUAAUCUUUUUUCAUGGCUAACAUAGGAGGCAUCUCUGCGAAGGUUCCAAUAGAUAGUUGUACAAGUAAAGUUUUAGUUCAUAUAUAAAAAGGCCAGCAAAUAGACAUGAAUUUUUCUUGACGAAUAUGAAUUUAUGGAUAGUACAUGGGUGGGGAUGCUUAUUUCACAACACUCUAAUUUCUAUGUCUGAAAGAUCGACAUAUUUUAAUAUUUGAAAUGGGAAAAAAAUAAUAUAAUGUUCAAUAGCAUGUAGAUCAAAUUAUAUACAUAAUAUAGUAGAUGACUGAUUGGAUGUAUUCUAUUACACUUUUCCAGAUGCCAAGAAAAAUCCUGAGAUGUGUUGAAAACUUGAAGAAUGCCCUGGUUAAAUUUUAUGCCACAAAGGGAAUCACCUUUGUUCAAAGCAAUUAGUAUAAUAUUCCAUUCAUCCAUCGAGGGGCAGCACUCUCCACUUGAUGAGUAAAAUCAUCUGGCAUUAGACAGAGUAAAAUACUUUGGCAUAAGACAGAGUAAAAUACUAAAAGUAGGGCACAUCAGGGUGCAUUGCCACUUAAUUAAAGGGUUAACUCAUUCAGCAAUCUCCCCUUCACAAAUAAAAUUUGCCAUUAGACAGAAUAAUAAAGUAGGGUGCAUUGUGUUGCAUUCAGACUUAUCAAAGGCUUAACAGGAUGCAUAGGCAUAUACUGGUCAACCCAUAGAGUGCCAGAGCUCUCCCCUUGCAUUGACAAGUAUAUUCGUCUGGCAUUUGAAAGGAAAAUUAUGUGGUGGAUUGCCUGACUUAUCAAAAGGGAUAAUAGGGGCCCACAGCAACUCUCUUGUUCUCUCAGGGGGGGAGGGGGUUAGGUUACACUCACAAAUGC